rnacentral:rRNA from 1 species
GACGAACGCUGGCGGCGUGCCUAAUACAUGCAAGUAGGACGCAGUUGCGAACGGGUGAGUAACGAGUAGGUACCUACCUAUUAGCGGGGGAUAACUAUUGGAAACGAUAGCUAAUACCGCAUACUAGUAGAUGGACCUGCGUUGUAUUAGCUAGUAGGUAGGGUAAUGGCAUACCUAGGCAACGAUACAUAGCCGACCUGGGAGGGUGGUCGGACCACCUGGGACUGAUACACGGCCCAGACCCCUACGGGAGGCAGCAGUAGGGAAUCUUCGGGAAUUGGGGGAACCCUGACCGGGCAACGCCGCGUGAGUUAAGAAGGUUUUCGGAUCGUAAAGCUCUGUUGUUAAGGAAGCGGUACUUAACCAGAAAGGGACGGCUAACUACGUGCCAGCAGCCGCGGUAAUUC